rnacentral:rRNA from 1 species
GGUGCAGCAGGCGCGAAAACUUUACAAUGCUGGCAACAGCGAUAAGGGGACCUUGAGUGCCAGGAUACAAUCCUGGCUGUCGUGAUGCCUAAAAAGCAUUAUAUAGCAAGGGCCGGGCAAGACCGGUGCCAGCCGCCGCGGUAACACCGGCGGCUCGAGUGGUAACCGCUAUUAUUGGGUCUAAAGGGUCUGUAGCCGGCUUGGUUAGUCUCUUGGGAAAUCCGGCAGCUUAACUGUCGGGCUUUCAGGAGAUACUGCCAGGCUCGAGACCGGGAGAGGUGAGAGGUACUUCAUGGGUAGGGGUGAAAUCUUGUAAUCCUUGAAGGACCACCAGUGGCGAAGGCGUCUCACCAGAACGGAUCUGACGGCAAGGGACGAAAGCUAGGGGCACGAACCGGAUUAGAUACCCGGGUAGUCCUAGCCGUAAACGAUACUCGCUAGGUGUCGGCCACGGUGCGACCGUGGUCGGUGCCGUAGGGAAGCCGUGAAGCGAGCCACCUGGGAAGUACGGCCGCAAGGCUGGAACUUAAAGGAAUUGGCGGGGGAGCAC